AUUAUCAUGCUCCACCACCAUUUGAGUUUACGAUUUGGCCGUGAAGCUUGUCGUACAUGUGGCAACCCUGUUCCUAUGCGAUUUGAGUGGGAGGUGGAUGACCUUUGUAG